GAUCAUGGCUCAGGAUGAACGCUAGCGACAGGCUUAACACAUGCAAGUCGAGGGGCAGCACGGGAGUAGCAAUACUUGGUGGCGACCGGCGCACGGGUGAGUAACGCGUAUGCAACCUACCUAUCAGGAGGGGAAUAACCCGGCGAAAGUCGGACUAAUACCGCAUAAAACAGGGGCACCGCAUGGUGAUAUUUGUUAAAGAAAUUCGCUGAUAGAUGGGCAUGCGUUCCAUUAGGUAGUUGGUGAGGUAACGGCUCACCAAGCCGACGAUGGAUAGGGGAACUGAGAGGUUGGUCCCCCACACUGGUACUGAGACACGGACCAGACUCCUACGGGAGGCAGCAGUGGGGAAUAUUGGUCAAUGGGCGGGAGCCUGAACCAGCCAAGUCGCCGUGAAGGAAGAAGGAUCUAUGGUUCGUAAACUUCUUUUGCAGGGGAAUAAAGUGCGGGACGUGUCCUGUUUUGUAUGUACCCUGAGAAUAAGGAUCGGCUAACUCCGUGCCAGCCGCUGC
rnacentral:rRNA from 1 species